GUGGGGAAUAUUGGACAAUGGGCGAAAGCCUGAUCCAGCCAUGCCGCGUGCAGGAUGAAGGCCUUCGGGUUGUAAACUGCUUUUGUACGGAACGAAAAGACUCUGGUUAAUACCUGGGGUCCAUGACGGUACCGUAAGAAUAAGCACCGGCUAACUACGUGCCAGCAGCCGCAGUAAUACGUAGGGUGCAAGCGUUAAUCGGAAUUACUGGGCGUAAAGCGUGCGCAGGCGGUUUUGUAAGACAGGCGUGAAAUCCCCGGGCUCAACCUGGGAAUUGCGCUUGUGACUGCAAGGCUGGAGUGCGGCAGAGGGGGAUGGAAUUCCGCGUGUAGCAGUGAAAUGCGUAGAUAUGCGGAGGAACACCGAUGGCGAAGGCAAUCCCCUGGGCCUGCACUGACGCUCAUGCCCGAAAGCGUGGGGAGCAAACAGGAUUAGAUACCCUGGUAUCC
rnacentral:rRNA from 1 species